AGGAUCGGAAACCCUUGAGGUGUAAAAUGAGAAGCCCGAUCGCUGGUACACUUAAACACAAACAGGACCAGGCUUUUCGAGACUGCAAUAAUACACCCAGAAUUGAGAGAGCGGCAGUUUGAUUCUAACAACUCUCCAUGUGCCUUCUCAAUCGAACGGCGUCUGAAUGCGGAGCCUUCACUCCAAGGAAUGGUCAAUCCUCAGUUCGUAUUCUUCAAGACCACCAGCAAUCAAUACCAAUUUACAGCCCUUUUUACACUCCCUUUAAAGCAGCCGUAUUUAUGGAGACAGGAAUCAAGUGCCGGAGUAAAUCGUUUCCAAGUCCAUUACUGCACCGAGGCGGGAGAUGCUCUGGGUGAAGUCUGACACAUCAAACGUCUCACCCCAGGGAGGCGACCAUCGGGGAAGGGAAAUGCUGCUUGGAUUUCAUCUCGAUCCUCCUCCCCAUCGCAUGGAAUAAAGGUAAAUAAGCUGUCACGAUUAGAUGGUGGAUAAAAAACGACAGACUG